rnacentral:rRNA from 1 species
ACGGGGGAUGCAAGCGUUAUCCGGAUUUAUUGGGUUUAAAGGGUGCGUAGGCGGUUUGAUAAGUCAGCGGUGAAAUAUUUCAGCUUAACUGAAAGGGUGCCGUUGAUACUGUCAGGCUUGAAUAUGGUUGCUGUGGGUGGAAUGUGUGGUGUGCAGCUGAAAAGGUUAUAUUUGACACUGAAUAACGAGUGUGUAGGGAGCAAACAAAAUCAUAAUUCAUUCUGAUGCGGGAAAAUGUGGAGAUGAAGGAG